CCACAGUACCAACGAGCUGCACCUCGAGGCCAUUCUUGCAGGCUGGGGAUGAAAUCUGCCUGGAGAACUUGCAAAAUUCUGUCCCUGCUCUCCUCACAGUGGGAUGUGGAUGUAAACUUGCCUCUUUCUCAGAGCAGCUCUUAAGGGGUUCGUUCUGACACAAUGGAAAAAGAAAACAAAUCCUUCUCUGCUCUGUGCAGUUCCCUCACCAGAUCUUCAUCAAGCCAAAUUCUGAUCACAUUUUAUUUGGGUACAACAGCAAAGAUUUGGCUGGAAUGAUGCACACAGCAAUUCAGCAAACCAGCCUGUUUAUAAACAAGAGCAGCUGAAUUACAUUCAUAAAUCACUUGGAGAUCCUACUUUUGCCAGUCUUCAUCCUGCCAAUCAACAUUUGUAUAGGGUACGGGUACAGUUGUCACUGCAACUUAAUGUGUAAAGGAUGCAAGGUAUGGAGUCUGAAGACUGCUCUAAGAUCUGAACAAAAGAAUACUUUGUACUGUUCUGCAUUCUCAAGAAUGUCAGCAUAUCAGGUGUCUUUUGGAUAAGAGGGACCAGCAAACAACUUGUGACCCAAGAGGGAAAUAGCAGCAGCAGCAACUGUGCUCUUCUCCAAAGCUCAUGAUGAUGUUCCUCUUCCCUUGGUUUUGUCUGAGCAUUUCCUGGGACAAGAGCAAGAUCUUUUAUUUCACCAGCACCAAGUUCAGCAGCUCCCAAACGUCCCUAACCUGUGAGACGCCUCAUGCAAUGCAGGCCAGCAUCAUUCCAGCCACCAGCACAAGGCAGAAACAUGCACACACAGAGCAUCCUCCUGCCCAGGGCACCCUUCAGC